GCAUUCCGUUCGUCUCGUGUUUGUUUCCGUUCUCGUGUAAAACUCUCUUUAAUUUAUUCCGUCACGGAAGCCAAACAAAUGGAUAAUUCCAGACGAUGAUCCUUACAAAUUACGACUUACAACAAGCCCAAGAAACACCUCUGGUUUUUCACAUUCCUGUGCUGUAUUCUUACACAAUUUGUUAUUUGCCACUAGGCCGCAAGAUACGAACAAUGAUUUUGACUACUCGUCUUCUGGGUUCUGGAAGCCAGCCAUAUGUGUAUGUAUCCUUUUGAUUUGGCUAUAAAAGUUGAAAGUUGGAGGCUUGGUUCCCCAAUCUCCGAUCUGCGUGCAAGCCAAUUAAGCCUUCUUUUCUAGCUCUUUUACACAGAAACAAACAAACAAACAGAGCGUGGGCGAGCAAGAGAGAUGCAUCCCGGACCACCUCCACCACCUGGUCCUCCUCCUCCUCCAUGUGGAUGUUUUGGUUUUCUCUGUGGUGGGUUAUGCGGACUCUUGUAUUCAUGUGUGGACUUCCUGUGCUGCUGCUGUGGACAUGGCCCACCUGGUCCACAUGGCCCACCUGGCCCACCUGGACCACCCUAGCCACAGAUCAUCAUCACCUUUGGCUCGGCCACUCCUUCGUUCCCAGGUACCAUGUGUAUAAAGCAUUGUAAUCACAGAAUAAAAUGAAAACUAGUGGUGUUUCUAGUUUCACCCAGUAGGUGACGAAGUGUUGUAUGUAUCUUUCUUUUGUUUCUUAUUUUGUUUGGGAGGUUGCAAAAUUAUUCUUUUUCCUGUCAACUAAGUAAAAUGUAUUAUACUACUAAUCUAUUAUUGUGUGUGCAAGUGGAUGACAGCUUUUAGCUUUAA